AUUGAACGCUGGCGGCAGGCCUAACACAUGCAAGUCGAACGAGUGGCGGACGGGUGAGUAAUGUCUGGGAAACUGCCUGAUGGAGGGGGAUAACUACUGGAAACGGUAGCUAAUACCGCAUACCAUCAGAUGUGCCAAGGUGGGAUUAGCUAGUUGGUGGGGUAACGGCUCACCAAGGAGACGAUCCAUAGCUGGUCUGAGAGGAUGACCAGCCACACUGGAACUGAGACACGGUCCAGACUCCUACGGGAGGCAGCAGUGGGGAAUAGUGCGCAAUGGGCGCAAGCCUGAUGGAGCCAUGCCGCGUGUAUGAAGAAGGCCUUCGGGUUGUAAAUUACUGUCAGCGGGGAGGCGUUACCCGCAGAAGAAGCACCGGCUAACUCCGUGCCAGCAGCCGCGGUAAUUC
rnacentral:rRNA from 1 species